GCCGAAGUGCUGGAAUUGGUAGACAGGCUAGAUUCAGGAUCUAGUGAGUAUUUUUGCUCGUAGGGGUUCAAGUCCCCUCUUCGGCA
rnacentral:tRNA from 1 species